rnacentral:rRNA from 1 species
CCCUUAGAUGUUCUGGGCCGCACGCGCGCUACACUGAUGAAUUCAACGAGCUCCUAACCUAGGCCGAAGGGUCCGGGUAAUCUUUGAAAUUUCAUCGUGAUGGGGAUAGAUUAUUGCAAUGAUUAAUCUUCAACGAGGAAUUCCUAGUAAGCGCGAGUCAUCAGCUCGCGUUGAUUACGUCCCUGCCCUUUGUACACACCGCCCGUCGCUCCUACCGAUUGAAUGGUCCGGUGAAAUGUUCGGACCGCGACAAGGCGGACGGUUCGCUGUCAGCUUUGCUGCGGGAAGUUCAUUAAACCUUAUCAUUUAGAGGAAGGAGAAGUCGUAACA